rnacentral:rRNA from 1 species
UGGCAAACGGGUGAGUAACGCGUGGGUAACCUGCCCUGUACAGGGGGAUAACAGUCAGAAAUGACUGCUAAUACCGUAUAAGACCACAGCACCGCAUGGUGCAGGGGUAAAAACUCCGGUGGUACAGGAUGGACCCGCGUCUGAUUAGCUGGUUGGUGAGGUAACGGCUCACCAAGGCGACGAUCAGUAGCCGGCUUGAGAGAGUGAACGGCCACAUUGGGACUGAGAGACGGCCCAAACUCCUACGGGAGGCAGCAUG